UCCAGCAGGCUGCAAAAUUGAUACAUAUAAACCCCAGAGAAGCAGUUUCUUUAGGUAGAGAGAGAAAAAAAAGUGGCUCUUUGACAAAGAAGUUUCUCAAAGCCAGACUUUGCUAGCCAAAGCAAAAAGCAAAAUCCCUUUGAGAAGGGGUUCUUGCCAGUCAGAGGAGCAAACAUUUGUGGACCCAAUAAGUUCUUAGAGUGAGGAAAGGAUCAGGAUCCAGCGAGAGAGGCAGAAAAAAAAUACCUUUCCCUGGAAGCAGGAGCCAGAGACAGAGAAGCCUCAAGCAUCUGAACUGGUGAGAACUGUGCUUUUCCGUCGACAUAAGCCAGCCUUGAGCAAGUUUCCCAAUGUGCUCCAGCCAUUAGUGCUCCAGCCCAGAGUGACACGUUGCCUUGUGGUAACAGCUCGCAACCAGAAAUGGCCAUGUGAUAGCAACUCUCCUCAGGACACCGAGAGAAGAGCGUGGAAACCUACUGCACAGGGUCACCCUCUUCUAUCACAUGGAUGCUCCACACACCUAAAGCAAGUCUUCCAAUGUGUUUGGGAUGAAGAUGGAAAAGAUGGGCCCCGAAUCCGUAGUGGGAGGGGCUUGUCAUUCUGAUCAAAGACAGGGUCCUGUGCGCUGCCUCAAUUAUAUCCUUUCCCUAUGCAUUAUCUUAUCAGAG